GUUAAGCGACUAAGCGUACACGGUGGAUGCCCUGGCAGUCAGAGGCGAUGAAGGACGUGCUAAUCUGCGAUAAGCGUCGGUAAGGUGAUAUGAACCGUUAUAACCGGCGAUUUCCGAAUGGGGAAACCCAGUGUGUUUCGACACACUAUCAUUAACUGAAUCCAUAGGUUAAUGAGGCGAACCGGGGGAACUGAAACAUCUAAGUACCCCGAGGAAAAGAAAUCAACCGAGAUUCCCCCAGUAGCGGCGAGCGAACGGGGAGCAGCCCAGAGCCUGAAUCAGUGUGUGUGUUAGUGGAAGCGUCUGGAAAGGCGCGCGAUACAGGGUGACAGCCCCGUACACAAAAAUGCACAUGCUGUGAGCUCGAUGAGUAGGGCGGGACACGUGGUAUCCUGUCUGAAUAUGGGGGGACCAUCCUCCAAGGCUAAAUACUCCUGACUGACCGAUAGUGAACCAGUACCGUGAGGGAAAGGCGAAAAGAACCCCGGCGAGGGGAGUGAAAAAGAACCUGAAACCGUGUACGUACAAGCAGUGGGAGCACGCUUAGGCGUGUGACUGCGUACCUUUUGUAUAAUGGGUCAGCGACUUAUAUUCUGUAGCAAGGUUAACCGAAUAGGGGAGCCGAAGGGAAACCGAGUCUUAACUGGGCGUUAAGUUGCAGGGUAUAGACCCGAAACCCGGUGAUCUAGCCAUGGGCAGGUUGAAGGUUGGGUAACACUAACUGGAGGACCGAACCGACUAAUGUUGAAAAAUUAGCGGAUGACUUGUGGCUGGGGGUGAAAGGCCAAUCAAACCGGGAGAUAGCUGGUUCUCCCCGAAAGCUAUUUAGGUAGCGCCUCGUGAAUUCAUCUCCGGGGGUAGAGCACUGUUUCGGCAAGGGGGUCAUCCCGACUUACCAACCCGAUGCAAACUGCGAAUACCGGAGAAUGUUAUCACGGGAGACACACGGCGGGUGCUAACGUCCGUCGUGAAGAGGGAAACAACCCAGACCGCCAGCUAAGGUCCCAAAGUCAUGGUUAAGUGGGAAACGAUGUGGGAAGGCCCAGACAGCCAGGAUGUUGGCUUAGAAGCAGCCAUCAUUUAAAGAAAGCGUAAUAGCUCACUGGUCGAGUCGGCCUGCGCGGAAGAUGUAACGGGGCUAAACCAUGCACCGAAGCUGCGGCAGCGACGCUUAUGCGUUGUUGGGUAGGGGAGCGUUCUGUAAGCCUGUGAAGGUGUGCUGUGAGGCAUGCUGGAGGUAUCAGAAGUGCGAAUGCUGACAUAAGUAACGAUAAAGCGGGUGAAAAGCCCGCUCGCCGGAAGACCAAGGGUUCCUGUCCAACGUUAAUCGGGGCAGGGUGAGUCGACCCCUAAGGCGAGGCCGAAAGGCGUAGUCGAUGGGAAACAGGUUAAUAUUCCUGUACUUGGUGUUACUGCGAAGGGGGGACGGAGAAGGCUAUGUUGGCCGGGCGACGGUUGUCCCGGUUUAAGCGUGUAGGCUGGUUUUCCAGGCAAAUCCGGAAAAUCAAGGCUGAGGCGUGAUGACGAGGCACUACGGUGCUGAAGCAACAAAUGCCCUGCUUCCAGGAAAAGCCUCUAAGCAUCAGGUAACAUCAAAUCGUACCCCAAACCGACACAGGUGGUCAGGUAGAGAAUACCAAGGCGCUUGAGAGAACUCGGGUGAAGGAACUA
rnacentral:rRNA from 1 species